CUGCUGUAUUUCAGAGCUUUCUGGAUAAGGGAUCCCAUACCUGUAAUGAAAGGGUUGGGCGUUACUCGUCGGGUGGAAUAUACACAGAGUUGUCACCCGUGUGGGUCUGAAUUGGACAUGAAAACUUUCUGUCUGGUUUAAGACAUUGAGAAACCUGGACAGAAAUUUGCAUCUAAAUGAUGGGAUAACCCCUUUCUGGUGGACAAUGGGGUCCCCACCUGUGAUGUCAUCACUGCCCCACCCCCAAUGUUAUCUGCCCCACCCCCUUGUUUGGCAGUGACAGUCACAUUAACCCCUUCUGUAAGGCCCAUGCACUGGGGAGGACCAACUGACAGAACAUACAAGGGGGGUUUAGGGAAAGUCCAUUAGGGACUACAGUCUGGCAAAGAUUCUGCUCAGUGUGUGACUAUUAUUUCCACACAGAACUUAUCUGGUCCGUCUAUUAUAGAUAAACAAGAAGUGCUGUAUGGCUCUGUCCUUGAAAUGAAAAAGUUAUAAGUCCAAAAGAAAAAACAAAAUCAUGAAUUAUAAAAUGUUCCCUCAGCAGGACAGUCCCUGGGAUGUUAAUCUAUUUUUUAAUAUGUACAAUUCAAAGUGGUGUGAGGUCCAUUUACAGUAAAUCAGUAGCCUGAGUCUUGAUAAGAUAAAGACUUUAUUAUAACAAACACAAAGCCUGGACGGCUGUUAUUCAUAGGUCUGUCCAUUAUAACUUAAUUAGAACCAAAAUAAACAGUAAAACAUACAACCUUAUAUGUUGCACUCCAGGUAGGGUUACCACUUGUCUGGAUUUCACCCCAAUAGCCCAGUUUUUGGAAGUUCAGUCCGGGUGAAAGUGCCUGUCCAGACUUCCAAAUGAGGAAAUCCAGGACAUUGAAGUUAAUGACAUGGUGAUCAGCCAAUUACUCAUCACCAUAUUCACCAGUCCCGCCCACCGACAUCACCAGUCCUGACCUGUGAUACAAAUGUGAUGUGUGUGUCUAUGACUGACUAAUUGAUUAGCCAGAAUAGAAAGGACUGGGGUCAAUAUAAUGAAGCAUAGGCAAUAGAGAUAAUGAUUAAGGCUCCUGUAGGUUACUAAAAGUCAAAAGAACAAUUCAUAUAAACAUGUUGUUGCAAGCGUGAAUCAUAGUCAUGAGACUGAUAUUUGCUGCCAAAUUCAAUAGUUCCUGUAGGUUACUAAAAGUUGUUGUGCAACAUCAGGCCCAAUCAGUAAUUGCCUUGUGGGAUCAACCCCACGAAUGAAGUAUAAGGUUUGAGAUUUUCCCAUAAUAGCUAGGGACUUUGCCACUGCUGACGAGCUGUGUGAUGUUGUUAUGGUUUGCUGCCUCCAAAAUCGUGUCCCCCGGUUGGAGUGAUGAUAUAAUAUCUCGGGCUUGAUGGCAGAAUGGAGCAGCCAGAGCUACAGAGUGGAUGACCCAGAUUUGGCCCUAACCUUUCCCACCCGGCCUGGUUUCCGUAGCUUUCCCAGUCCCCAAGUCUUUCCUAUUUUCUCCCUCUUGCCACAAUCUGAUCCCUGCAGUAACAAUGAGCUGGUUGAGUAAACUUAACCCUCGGGGAGCUGGCGGCAGGGCCAAGUGUCAGUCUCCAACCGCCGCUCACUGCCGAUCCAGAGACCUGUCUGAUGGUUCUCAAGAACCUCUGGUCCCAGGUGCUGCGCAUUCUCCAGCGCCAGGGCCCCUCCUCAGAGUCAGUAACUGCAGACGACCUGAGCAGCGAGUGUAAUAAUACUUACCAGAUGGUCAGCCUUUUGGCCGAGGAGAUGGAGACGGGCCGGGCCCUAUUCUGACAUAUUUGGCAUCAGAGGGAAUCCUAGAGACAAUAUUGCAGUGGCACCGGCAGCGAGAAUUAACUGAGGAUAAAAAGGUGGAGCAGCUGAAGUUGUAUGAGAUGCUCAUCAGCCAAUCCCGCCAGCCCCUGCCACGUUACCAGCCAAUCCUGCGCCCCCUGCUCAUACUCCUGAGCACCUUCUCCCCAGGUACAGUCUCACCUGCGCUUGAGAAUAACCUGCUGCUGCUCAAUCAGUUGUGAGUGUCUGGCACAGGAACCCUCCACCCUUUUCUUCUAAUCUCCCUCUGGUUCCAACGACCCUGCCAACCUGAUUAUCUUCUCUCGGCUGGUGCCCUUUAUACACCCACUGAUUGGGCAGCAGGCACGGGAUACACUACUCCUUAUCACGGCCAUGUCAUCAGCAAACCCAACUACAAAUACAUCACUGACAAUUCCUUCUUUUGCCCCGUCAGUCUAACACUCCCUCUUGUGCACUUUCUCAUU